rnacentral:tRNA from 1 species
GCCCCGAUCGUCUAGCCCGGUCAAGGAUGUCACCCUCUCACGGUGAAAACGCGGGUUCAAAUCCCGCUCGGGGCA